rnacentral:rRNA from 1 species
AGCGAACGCUGGCGGCAGGCUUAACACAUGCAAGUCGAACGGGCAUCUUCGGAUGUCAGUGGCAGACCGGUGAGUAACACGUGGGAACGUACCCUUCGGUUCGGAAUAACUCAGGGAAACUUGAGCUAAUACCGGAUACGCCCUUUUGGGGAAAGGUUUACUGCCGCAGGAUCGGCCCGCGUCUGAUUAGCUUGUUGGUGGGGUAACGGCCUACCAAGGCGACGAUCAGUAGCUGGUCUGAGAGGAUGAUCAGCCACACUGGGACUGAGACACGGCCCAGACUCCUACGGGAGGCAGCAGUGGGGAAUAUUGGACAAUGGGCGCAAGCCUGAUCCAGCCAUGCCGCGUGAGUGAUGAAGGCCGUAGGGUUGUAAAGCUCUUUUGUCCGGGACGAUAAUGACGGUACCGGAAGAAUAAGCCCCGGCUAACUUCGUG